CUACACUCCACAGUAAGAAUUCCCUAGAAUUUGUCCAACCCUACACACUAAACAAUAUUUUGCAGAUGAACAGCCAAUAAAUAUGCAAACGAACAGCUAAUAUAUCAGUAUGUUGCCAAUAAACCGCCAGUAAAACAGUAAUUUAAUUAGUAAACUGAUCCGACAUUAAAUGCAUGCACUUCCUCCUUCAAAAACCCAAUCUCAUGCAUCAAUGACAUGCUAUUAAUGAUCAGUACAACAUACAGUGAUAGUAACAUCAUGUUAUCAACAUGAAAAUAGUAAUAGUUUAAUUGGUAAAUAGUAACAGUGGAGCAUGCGUUAGUAAAAUAUGCAGUAUCGUCACAGAAACAAUAUCACAAUUUCACACAACAUCACAGUUUCAUAAAUUGGCAGCAUGGUAUUAUCAUAUUCAUAGUACACAGUAAAUUUACAUCCAAUCAACACUCACGGUUUAUCAAUGAUUUAACAGAGAUUAUACCCCUUUUUAGAUUUGACGUUUUAAGCGAAUUCAGAUUCACAGAUCAAACUUGUUUAGUAAUCAUUAAAAAAAUAGUAAAUAACAUGCUUAAUAACACUAUGUAUUCGACCAAAGCCCAUUCACGCACAUGAUACACACAGUUAGGACACACACCUUUUCUUCUUACGUCGUGCGGUACCUCUUCAACUCAGAUCUAAUUCGUUCACGUCAAGAUUCGAUCCUUUGAACAGAAAACACAUGAAAAUAAAUAACAUUAGAAUCAGUACUAGCUAGAUUUCGGGAUUGAAGAUAACCAAUUAAUUAGUAUGGGAGUGGAGCAGAUCGUACACGUACUUUGUAAACUCAAAACCAAUCUCACUUAUGGAGCAGGGGAUUUCCACUUACCAACAUAUCGAAAUUGGAUAUGGGAAGCUAUUGUUGACAGUUCUAUUCACUAACGAAAUCUGAACGAAUAGAGAGUGAUUCGAUAAGGGAAAGAAAUCGACAGCUCAAUGAGUGCAAGGUGCGACGGCAACAAGGACAGUGGAUGAGG
rnacentral:lncRNA from 1 species